GUGGCUGUGGCUCAGUGGUAGAGCACUUGCCUAGCACAUAUGAGGCACUGGGUUCGACUCUCAGCACCACA
rnacentral:tRNA from 1 species